rnacentral:snoRNA from 1 species
GUGUACAAAUUCACUCUGCACCCAGCUGCAGCCCCGGGGGGGGGGGUGCUUUUUCUGUAUUCUAUAGAAACAUCCCCAAGGGGUGUGAUCACCUUAACCCAUCAAGGGCGAUGCAACCUUGUGGGGACGCGGGG